rnacentral:rRNA from 1 species
GAUGAACGCUGGCGGCGUGCCUAAUACAUGCAAGUCGAGCGAACGGACGAGAAGCUUGCUUCUCUGAUGUUAGCGGCGGACGGGUGAGUAACACGUGGAUAACCUACCUAUAAGACUGGGAUAAAUUCGGGAAACCGGAGCUAAUACCGGAUAAUAUUUUGAACCGCAUGGUUCAAAAGUGAAAGACGGUCUUGCUGUCACUUAUAGAUGGAUCCGCGCUGCAUUAGCUAGUUGGUAAGGUAACGGCUUACCAAGGCAACGAUGCAUAGCCGACCUGAGAGGGUGAUCGGCCACACUGGAACUGAGACACGGUACAGACUCCUACGGGAGGCAGCAGUAGGGAAUCUUCCGCAAUGGGCGAAAGCCUGACGGAGCAACGCCGCGUGAGUGAUGAAGGUCUUCGGAUCGUAAAACUCUGUUAUUAGGGAAGAACAUAUGUGUAAGUAACUGUGCACAUCUUGACGUUACCUAAUCAGAAAGCCACGGCUAACUACGUG